GACUAGAUGGGCUGACAGAUUGUCUAGGAUUUGGGUUCAUGGUUCCAUUGGCUGGACUAUCCGCCAAUUCAAAUUUUAAUAAGAAUAAGUUUUGUUUGUAAUUAAAAUAAUAUAAAUAAUUUUGUAGUCUAAAUAAGAAUCCAUAGCUAGAUGCACAAUGCUAUAUUUAUUACUUCCUCUGUUUUAAAUUAUGAGACGUUUUGGUUUUUUUUGAUUCGUUGUCUUAUAAUUUGGAAUGGAAGAAGUAUUUAGUUUGGAUCUUUGUUAGGAUAAACAAAAACUGUUUUUCAUACCUAUAUUAUGAGAAAAAAACAAAAGAAAAAUGAGGAAUACGCAGAAAAAGAAACGAGGAGAUAGUGGACUUGGACGGAACAAAAUGGUUAUUAAAAAAAACAGACAUGGAAAAGAACGGAAGGGAAAAAACCUGGCAGAGUAAGAAGAAUUUUGCCAUCUCACCUUCGCUAGUAGAUUAGUUCAAACUACCUAAGCUACCAGUAAAAUUCUGUGUUCCAAAUUAGAUGAUUUACAUCCUUUGCUUAGGCUCUCUUUAGAAUACAGGAUCGUAAAAUGCAGAAAAUACACAGCAAAGAAUAAGAAUGCAUAUGCAACGAAAAAAAUGAAUAGAUAAUAUAGAAAUUUUGUCCUAAUAUAUGUUUUGGAUCAAUCGCAGGAAAAGCACAAGAAGCAACGAGCAUGAUGUUUGAAUGGAUUUUUUUCAUGUGAAAUCAAGCACAAAGUAAAGUUUCCUAUGUUUUUUCAUAGAUGAUUAGUGUGAACCAAACGAUAUUCUAAUAAAAUUUAAAUAUAGAUUUUCGAUUC
rnacentral:lncRNA from 1 species